rnacentral:rRNA from 1 species
UGAGAAAUAUUGGUCAAUGGACGCAAGUCUGAACCAGCCAAGUAGCGUGCAGGAUGACGGCCCUAUGGGUUGUAAACUGCUUUUAUAUGGGGAUAAAGUGGGGAACGUGUUCCCUUUUGCAGGUACCAUAUGAAUAAGGACCGGCUAAUUCCGUGCCAGCAGCCGCGGUAAUACGGAAGGUUCGGGCGUUAUCCGGAUUUAUUGGGUUUAAAGGGAGCGUAGGCCGUUUGGUAAGCGUGUUGUGAAAUGUAGGAGCUCAACUUCUAGAUUGCAGCGCGAACUGUCAGACUUGAGUGCGCACAACGUAGGCGGAAUUCAUGGUGUAGCGGUGAAAUGCUUAGAUAUCAUGACGAACUCCGAUUGCGAAGGCAGCUUACGGGAGCGCAACUGACGCUAAAGCUCGAAGGUGCGGGUAUCGAACAGG